rnacentral:rRNA from 1 species
GACGAACGCUGGCGGCAUGCCUAACACAUGCAAGUCGAACGGAGAUUAUUUCGGUAAUCUUAGUGGCGAACGGGUGAGUAACGCGUGGGCAACCUGCCCUCUAGAUGGGGACAACAUCCCGAAAGGGGUGCUAAUACCGAAUGUGACAGCAAUCUCGCAUGAGGAUGCUGUGAAAGAUGGCCUCUAUUUAUAAGCUAUCGCUAGAGGAUGGGCCUGCGUCUGAUUAGCUAGUUGGUGGGAUAACGGCCUACCAAGGCGAUGAUCAGUAGCCGGUCUGAGAGGAUGAACGGCCACAUUGGGACUGAGACACGGCCCAGACUCCUACGGGAGGCAGCAGUGGGGAAUCUUCCGCAAUAGGCGAAAGCCUGACGGAGCAAUGCCGCGUGAGUGAUGAAGGAAUUCGUUCCGUAAAGCUCUUUUGUUUAUGACGAAUGUGCAGAUUGUGAACAAUGAUCUGUAAUGACGGUAGUAAACGAAUAAGCCACGGCUAACUACGUG